UACACUCCUACGGGAGGCAGCAGUGGGGAAUAUUGCCCAAUGGGCGCAAGCCUGAUGCAGCCAUGCCGCGUGUAUGAAGAAGGCCUUCGGGUUGUAAAGUACUUUCAGCGGGGAGGAAGGUGUUGAGGUUAAUAACCUCAGCAAUUGACGUUACCCGCAGAAGAAGCACCGGCUAACUCCGUGCCAGCAGCCGCGGUAAUACGGAGGGUGCAAGCGUUAAUCGGAAUUACUGGGCGUAAAGCGCACGCAGGCGGUCUGUCAAGUCGGAUGUGAAAUCCCCGGGCUCAACCUGGGAACUGCAUUCGAAACUGGCAGGCUAGAGUCUUGUAGAGGGGGGUAGAAUUCCAGGUGUAGCGGUGAAAUGCGUAGAGAUCUGGAGGAAUACCGGUGGCGAAGGCGGCCCCCUGGACAAAGACUGACGCUCAGGUGCGAAAGCGUGGGGAGCAAACAGGAUUAGAUACCCCAGUAGUCCCAUG
rnacentral:rRNA from 1 species